GCAGUCGAACGGCAGCACGGGAGCAAUCCUGGUGGCGAGUGGCGAACGGGUGAGUAAUAUAUCGGAACGUGCCCAGUCGUGGGGGAUAACGUAGAGAAAUUUACGCUAAUGCCGCAUACGAUCUAAGGAUGAAAGCGGGGGACCGUAAGGCCUCGCGCGAUUGGAGCGGCUGAUAUCAGAUUAGGUUGUUGGUGAGGUAAAAGCUCACCAAGCCGACGAUCUGUAGCUGGUUUGAGAGAACGACCAGCCACACUGGGACUGAGACACGGCCCAGACUCCUACGGGAGGCAGCAGUGGGGAAUUUUGGACAAUGGGCGAAAGCCUGAUCCAGCAAUGCCGCGUGCAGGAAGAAGGCCUUCGGGUUGUAAACUGCUUUUGUACGGAACGAAAAGGUCUGCCCUAAUACGGCGGGCCCAUGACGGUACCGUAAGAAUAAGCACCGGCUAACUACGUGCCAGCAGCCGCGGUAAUACGUAGGGUGCGAGCGUUAAUCGGAAUUACUGGGCGUAAAGCGUGCGCAGGCGGUGAUGUAAGACAGUUGUGAAAUCCCCGGGCUCAACCUGGGAAUUGCAUCUGUGACUGCAUCGCUAGAGUACGGUAGAGGGGGAUGGAAUUCCGCGUGUAGCAGUGAAAUGCGUAGAUAUGCGGAGGAACACCGAUGGCGAAGGCAAUCCCCUGGACCUGUACUGACGCUCAUGCACGAAAGCGU
rnacentral:rRNA from 1 species